UAAGGAAUAUUGCUCAAUGGGAGAAAUCCUGAAGCAGCAACGCCGCGUGGAGGAUGAAGGGUCUAUGACUUGUAAACUCCUGUAAAGAAGGAAAAAAUUCCCAUUAGAUGGGAGAUGAUGGCACUUCUGGAGUAAGCCCCGGCUAACUACGUGCCAGCAGCCGCGGUAAUACGUAGGGGGCAAGCGUUGUCCGGAUUUACUGGGUGUAAAGGGUGCUCAGGCGGAUUUGUAAGUCAGAGGUGAAAUCUUACAGCUUAACUGUGAAACUGCCUUUGAUACUGCAAGCCUAGAGUAUGGAAGAGAGUGAUGGAAUAUCUGGUGUAGCAGUGAAAUGCGUAGAUAUCAGAUAGAACACCAAUGGCGAAGGCAGUCACUUGGUCCAUUACUGACGCUAAAGCACGAAAGCGUGGGUAGCAAACA
rnacentral:rRNA from 1 species